AGGCAAACAAACUGACAGCACAGGGAGCAGUUUGGAGAAUCCAUCUUAAUCUCAGGCAGAACUGGACACAGCUUGCAUGGUUGGAAAAUCAACAGAACUACAGUUUCAACAAGGAAUUAUUUAAAUUAUGAGGGAAAACCAGGAAAAAGGUAAUCUUCGUUCUUUUUGCUCCACAGAGAAAGUAUUAUUUUGUACUGACUCUGAAUGCAGUCAGGCAAUCACUAGACUUUGGGAUAAAGCACUAGGAAAUUUUAGAUGCACAGCUGGGGGAAUGCAAGGCAACAGUGCAUUUUUCUGGGUCCAGUUUUUGUCCUUUUGCAGAAGAGGGGAAAGAGAUUUAGUUUUUUAAUUCAGGCUCAAUAAAGACAGGAUGCAGGUUGUUCAGGGAAGUAAAGAGCUAUUUUAAUUGUCCCUUAUCCCACAAAACGAAAAAGGAUUUGACCACCAAAGUACUUUUUAUUUUCUCAAUCUUCUUGAAGUUCAAAAGGCUCUGCUUAAAGCAAUAGGCCAAGUAUUCUCAACAGCCCAACAGAAAUGCAUCCUGUGCAGAUACCUUUCAACCUUCCAAACCCAGGAGGAGUGCUCUGAAUCCCAUCUGAUAGAGGGUUUAUUGUUCUGCCAGGCUGGGCAGCAGUUUGUGGAAUGGCUUGUUUUCAGCUCUGACAGACACGAGCAUUCAGCAAACCAAACACACACAGAGCAGGAAUGAUAAAAUGACAGCAGGGAUUAGACGAUACAAGAGUUUGAAAAAUUACAUUAAGACUUUUAUCUUUAUGCAGGAUACAUGUACUCAGUUAAAACUACAGAAACAUGACAAAAAAUAUAACACUAUUAGUACAGUAAAAUCCCUCAAACUUAAAUGGGAAAACCCUCUAAAAUAUUCUCUACAUAUUUUUCCUUUUACAAAACAUUUGAAAAUGCCAAUCCCAUGAACAGAUAUAAAAAUAUAAUCUCUGGAACAUUUUCCUAAAACCAUGACAAGUUCUGUUUCAUGCAAAAACAUACCCUCCAACUUGUGUCAUUUUGGAAUUGUCCCCCCAGCCCAGACAAGGUCACUGAUAUUGGGUGCAAAUGCAGUGAUGGUACCUGAGCUCAAUCUUACUUGAGCUACUCUAGCUGAUCAUUGAUUAACUUUCAAAAGCCUAACACUACUGUGGCCAUUCCUACCCUUUGUACACAAGGUAAAAAUAAAGGCCUUUCAAAAAGCAUGUCCUCUUCAAGGAGUUAUUUGUCCUGUGGUGUUGUAUCAGUGCAGGGAUUUUCAUCUUGGCUCAUCUGGAAACAUCUGUGAAAGCUUAACUCCAAAAAUCGAGCCUUUUGUUCUAAAAUAAUCAGGUCCUUUCUCUUUAAUUCACCACUGAUGCCAGUGUGGGCUUCAGAACACAAAGGUGAAACCCCUUCAGCUGAUUAGGAUCCAGGUACCAACAAAUCUUUCUUCUGGUACACUUGAUUUCAAGAGUGGGCAAGAGCCUGAUUCUCAGGGUAUAAAGGCUGACAAUUGGAAGGAUCUUAACAAUAUUCUCAAUUAACAAUGGCAAACUGGGUGAUAUUCUUUAACAAAGUGAAAUGUGCUACUCUGCAAUCACAAUUGAAUAACCUCUUGCCAGGACCACAGUUUUAAAAUAUUAUUCACCUAAAGUUUACUUAUGUGCUGAAUUCUGAUACUCUUCAAAUCAAGUAGAAACUGCUGAAGUUAAGGAAGUCUAGAGAAACUUUACACACAAAUAUGAGUUUAUUCUUUUUCCCUAAUGAAAACAGAGAUGUUUUACUAGAUUCCUUGAUGGUAUUAGUGCACAGAACUUCUGAAUGCUGAAACAAGGCAGAGGAAGUACAUAAAAAAUACACUCAGAUCCCUUUUCUUAUACCAACAACUCUCAAUUAUUUUAUUUAUGGGAAAUAAAAGCAGAAAUUUUUGUGUCAUUGUGAUGUUUAUCCUUUUUUCUAGUUUCCUGUUUUUUCAAAUAAUUAAAACUAUAUUAUAUAUGUAAAGCACCAUCAGUUUUCAAAGCAGUUAACAAUUUUUCUCCUUUGAUUCUUCACAGUACCAGUGCACACAAAUAGUUCCCCGUUCCCUCCCCAGGCUGCUGUAGAAAGGAAAUGUGAAUUACUCAGUAUAACCAGUGGAGCCUGCUGAGGCUGAACACAGAAAUUAAUGUAAGGACACCAGAAUUUGUUCAGUUUAUAUUAAAGAAAGUGUCCUUUGGUGAUGAGGUGCAGUGAUGCUGUGACAGCCCCAUCAACACUGUCUGUACUGUGUUACCUAAGGGGAAACAGGAAGGACUUGUGCCUAGGAAGGAGCAGAAGGCUCAGAACUCAGUGGUUUCUCGUGCUAAUCAAAGCCAUGGCUCUCAUGCUACAAGGAGGGAAAAAUACCUUUUGCUGUUUGAAAGCUUUUCUUCCCUGUGCAGAUGAACAACUACUGCAGACUUGUCUGAAUGGCAAACCUGAACUUCAUAUUUUAAACACUGGUGCUACAUAAACACUAGCCUUGGAUACAAACUGCAUUGGGUAAUUUGAUUAACCAAUGCUAUCUUAUCAGUAAGGCUGUGUGCUUUUGUGAAUAAGCUGAUUUCAUGAUCUGUUUGUUGAGGUUUUUGCCAUUUUAGCCAUUAACAAUGACCAGGUGUUUAGAAACUAUGCCAGACAUUUAUAAUGACAAGUGUUAGGACAGAUGAAAUAAUAUACACAUGAACUGUCACGGAAGUAGGACUGUUUCAGAUGUUUUUUACACUGAAAUUCCCAAUUAUUAGGCCUUAGUGUUUUAAAUCUUCAAAUCACUUUAGAACCGUGAAACAAUCAGUGCUCAAAAUAUUCCCUAAUUAGCAGUAUUUGCUGAUAAGAAAAUAUGACAGAGGAAAAAGAAUUUGCCAGAGUUCAGGUGGAUUUUUCAACGUUUUUUAUUCCAGAUGGAAAUGAGGUGUGUAUUUGCCUAAAGCUGUGGUUUCUCAUCUAAAAAUCACAGUAUUUCAGUCUGCAAAUGAAAAGUGGAACAGGAAAAUGGCUAAUGCUGGCAGGUGGCCAAAGCCUGGGUUUGAAAAGCAGUUUGCACCUUGGCAAAGGCCAGGAGAAAAGCAGGACUACUCACCCAGCUCCUCUCUCACAGCCAGAGCAGCUUCUGCAGGGCUGGGCAGGGCUGGGUCGUGUCCCUCUCAGCCAGGCACCACCUCAGCUUUCACUAAGGUCACUUUUUUUGACAGAGCCUGACUAGAGAAAAAUGUUUUUCAGGUCCACAAGAAUUUUCAGCCAAUAUUAAUUAAUCCCUGAUCCCUGGUACCCCUUUUUUUUUCUUCAGGCUGUAUUUAUGUUUACACUGAACUGUCUUUACCUUUCUCAUUAUCUUUUUCUUAUAAAGAUUCCUCUUUUCCUCAACACCCAGCUACCCAUUUUCACAUAAUUCAUUAAUUAUUUGGCCUCAGCACAGGGCCAAUAUGUGUGAAUACCUCACCAUCCCAGCUGGCCAUUUGUCUCCUAGUGCAGGUUGAGCUGUCAAGAUUCUAUUGAGUUGCCUCUGCAUCAUCUUGUGACAAACUCUAUGACCAAGGUCCUUUUAUUAUCAAUUAACCAGAAAUACAGCAAGACAUUUUGUUCAAUCUUUGAGUGCAUGAGCUAAUAUUUGUACUGCAAAAUUCAAUCCCACUCAUUUCAUCCCCUUCAGCAUUCAAAGUCUUACAGGGGUUUUUUGUGUGUGUACUGGGAUCCUUUGCUAGAGUAGUGUCUCCCAACCCAGCAUCAACCCCAGCCUGCUCAGAUCUGUGCUGCAGUGGUCAAUGCAAAUGCAGUGAUUAAGCAAAUUCAGUUACAAGAUAUAUACAUAAGAAAUUCCACUUGCAGCUGCCACCCAACUCCACUUUCUUUUCAGCAUUGUCUUUUUUCCUUUAGCCAGCUGCUAACACACAUCAUCAUGCUGCUAAUUCCCAUGUUCUCCAUCUUGACUGUUUUCCACAUUUUCCACACAUCCACUGUAUCAGAUGCUCCAAAUCUAUGAAAUCUGUACUUGCUCAGUUGUGCCAGGCCUGACUCUUACUUUGCUUUUAGCCCUGGGAAUUCCACAGACCUAAUCCCUCUUUGCUUGCAGGCUCAGUUGUGCAUUGCCCUCUUUUUUUUUCCACUUGAAUCUGUUCUUUUCCAGCACUGGAUUCAAACCCCACAGUUUUACAGCAUCAAAACAAGUUUUCUUUUCUACCCUCACAGGAAGUCUGCAGUGAAACCACAGCUGUAGGGGUUCCACAAACAGGAAGAGUUCGCCUCUACGCUGCCACUUUGAGCUGAUAUCAAACCCAGCUCUCCCCUUACUGUUUAAACUUCAGGCUCCUCACCAUUCCAUACAAGUAGCAGAGCUUAAACUGCUCAACAGAACUUAGAGCUAAGAAACUGAAGGGGGUAACAGAAAAUAAGAUCAUACCUUCUUUUCCUUAUAAUAUAAACCAGCUUUUAAUAAUAAAAACUUCUAUCACGUUUUCAGUGAGAAUUACAUAUACAUUUCAGUGUAAAACAGUGCACAGUGUAAAUGCCCUUAGAUACCCUUCUCUGCAUCUCUUGUGUUGGCAGUGGCUGCAGACGUGGGCCAGGAUCCUGCCCAGGCCAUUCCACGGAGCUGAGCUGGUGGAGACACAGCCAGGGCUUGGCCCACGUGUUCCUUCUUACUUUUGGGUGUUCCUACAGUUCUUAUAAUACUAAGUACAUUUUAAGUUGAAGAUUCAGUGAAGAAACAUCCAUUUCUUCUUCAGACAGUAAAUGGUAAGAGUAACUCUCCCAAAAUUAACAAGAAAGUGCAUUGAAAUAGUGAUCUGCUCAUCUGGCUGCAAUCCAGAAUGGACACCCAGCACCAAACCCCUGGAUCCCACAGCUGGCAAUCCAUGGGCUGUCCUAGUUCCCUGUAACAGGUUAGAGCUGAAUAUUUCACAGAAUAUUCUGGGUUGGAAGGGACUCAAGGAUCACUGAGUCCAACUCUUAAGUGAAUGGCCCAUAACGGGGAUGGAGCCCAUGACCUCUGUGUGAUUAGCACCAGGAUCUAAAGAGGCUGCUGUAGGUCAGAGGAAACAGUUAAAAGUAAGAGAUCAAAACAAAACAUGUUCCUUCCCCAAAAUUAUUUCAGUCUGUGAGUGAAAAGAAAAAAAAUAUUUAAAAAUAAAGGAACAAGGUUCAGAACAAUCUGCAUCCCCCAAAUUGUCAUAAGCCAUUUUGUGUUGAAGAGA